rnacentral:rRNA from 1 species
UACGUAGGGUGCAAGCGUUAAUCGGAAUUACUGGGCGUAAAGCGUGCGCAGGCGGUGAUGUAAGACAGUUGUGAAAUCCCCGGGCUCAACCUGGGAACUGCAUCUGUGACUGCAUCGCUGGAGUGCGGCAGAGGGGGAUGGAAUUCCACGUGUAGCAGUGAAAUGCGUAGAGAUGUGGAGGAACACCGAUGGCGAAGGCAAUCCCCUGGGCCUGCACUGACGCUCAUGCACGAAAGCGUGGGGAGCAAACAGG